rnacentral:rRNA from 1 species
AACGNAGCAAAAUGCGAUACUUGGUGUGAAUUGCAGAAUCCCGUGAAUCAUCGAGUCUUUGAACGCAAGUUGCGCCCGAAGUCUUUAGGCUGAGGGCACGCCUGCGUGGGCGUCACGCAUCGCGUCGCCCCCCUCACAAUCCUUUGGAAUGUGGAUGGGGCGGAUAUUGGCAUCCCGUGAUUUAAUUGCGCGGCUUGCCCAAAUGAGAUGUCGCAUCGUCGGAUGUCACGACUAUUGUUGGUUGAACUCUCUUCUUUAUGAUAUGUCGUGUCGGAACCCGUACGUUGCUUGUGCAUUUUUCUAACCCAUUGGCUCAAUUUGUGCCUACGACCGCGACCCCACGUCAGGCGGGACUACCCGCUGAGUUUAA